GAGGGUAUAGAUCAGUGGUAAAGUGCAUGCCUAGCAUGUGUGAGGUCCUGGGUUCAAUUCCCAGUACCUCCA
rfam:Camelus ferus unplaced genomic scaffold scaffold590, whole genome shotgun sequence.